rnacentral:rRNA from 1 species
GAUGAACGCUGGCGGCGUGCCUAAUACAUGCAAGUCGAGCGAACGGACGAGAAGCUUGCUUCUCUGAUGUUAGCGGCGGACGGGUGAGUAACACGUGGAUAACCUACCUAUAAGACUGGGAUAACUUCGGGAAACCGGAGCUAAUACCGGAUAAUAUUUUGAACCGCAUGGUUCAAAAGUGAAAGACGGUCUUGCUGUCACUUAUAGAUGGAUCCGCGCUGCAUUAGCUAGUUGGUAAGGUAACGGCUUACCAAGGCAACGAUGCAUAGCCGACCUGAGAGGGUGAUCGGCCACACUGGAACUGAGACACGGUCCAGACUCCUACGGGAGGCAGCAGUAGGGAAUCUUCCGCAAUGGGCGAAAGCCUGACGGAGCAAAGCCGAGUGAGUGAUGAAGGUCUUCGGAUCGUAAAACUCUGUUAUUAGGGAAGAACAUAUGUGUAAGUAACUGUGCACAUCUUGACGGUACCUAAUCAGAAAGCCACGGCUAACUACGUG